rnacentral:misc_RNA from 1 species
GAUGAAGAACGUAGCGAAAUGCGAUACGUAAUGUGAAUUGCAGAAUUCAGUGAAUCAUCGAAUCUUUGAACGCACCUUGCGCCCUUUGGCUAUUCCGAAGGGCAUGCCUGUUUGAGUAUCGUGAACACCUCAACUCUCAUGGUUUGCCAUGAUGAGCUUGGACUUUGGGGGUUUUGCUGGCCUUUGGUCGGCUCCUCUCAAACGGAUCAGCUUUCCAGUGUUUGGUGGCGUCACGGGUGUGAUAACUAUCUACGCCUGUGGUUUUCUGCCAGAUAACCUUCAGCGAUGGAGGUUCGCUGGGGCUCAUAAAUGUCUCUCUUCAGUGGAGACAGCUUUUUGGACGUUUGAUCUCAAAUCAGGUAGGACUACCCGCUGAACUUAAGCAUAUCAAUAAGCGGAGGA